GACGAACGCUGGCGGCGUGCUUAACACAUGCAAGUCGAACGGAAAGGCCCUGCUUUUGUGGGGUGCUCGAGUGGCGAACGGGUGAGUAACACGUGAGUAACCUGCCCUUGACUUUGGGAUAACUUCAGGAAACUGGGGCUAAUACCGGAUAGGAGCUCCUGCUGCAUGGUGGGGGUUGGAAAGUUUCGGCGGUUGGGGAUGGACUCGCGGAUUAUCAGCUUGUUGGUUGGGUAGUGGCUUACCAAGGCUUUGACGGGUAGCCGGCCUGAGAGGGUGACCGGCCACAUUGGGACUGAGAUACGGCCCAGACUCCUACGGGAGGCAGCAGUGGGGAAUAUUGCACAAUGGGAGGAAGCCGGAUGCAGCAACGCCGCGUGCGGGAUGACGGCCUGCGGGUUGUAAACAGCUUUAGCCUGUGACGAAGCGUGAGUGACGGUAAUGGGUAAAGAAGCACCGGCUAACUACGUG
rnacentral:rRNA from 1 species